GGCCAGAUAGCUCAGUCGGUAGAGCAGGGGACUGAAAAUCCCCGUGUCGGUGGUUCGAUUCCACCUCUGGCCACCA
rnacentral:tRNA from 3 species